rnacentral:lncRNA from 1 species
AAUUUUCCAGCAAAAAAAUUAUUUUCUGAAAUAUUUUUGUCGGAAUGAAACAUCCUGUAAAUUAUUGGUCAUUUCUCAAAAUAGACCCUUCAAACCCCUCAAAUAAGGUACAAUAAAUUAUCUCUCUAGUUAGUGUUGGCUUAAAUAAACCAGCAUUCUGCCCUGUGGCGGGAGACCAAGUGGGCCGAGUCACGUUCGAAAUGGCGUGAGAUCGGAUUGUGUCGAGUCAUAUUCAAAGUGGCGCAAGGCUGGGUUGGCCGGAUGACAAUCGAAACUCGUGAGCGUUGUAUUAAUAUUCUUUAAGUGCAUUGGUUGCGUAUUUCUAAAUGAUCGAGCUUUUGGAAUUAAUGGUUAGCGAUAACGAUACGACAAUUAGGUCUUUUUUGUUUAACACAUUGAGACAACAAAAUCUCACGACUAUCACAGCAAAAAUUUAUAGAGACAAAAAGAUUUGAGGUUGCUAAAUAUGUUGUUGCAAGAGAGAGAGGAAAAAUAAAAAAAAAAGAGAGAGAAAAAGGAAAAAAGAAAAAAGAAAA